rnacentral:rRNA from 1 species
UACGUAGGGUGCAAGCGUUAAUCGGAAUUACUGGGCGUAAAGCGUGCGCAGGCGGUUUUGUAAGUCAGAUGUGAAAUCCCCGGGCUUAACCUGGGAACUGCAUUGGUGACUGGCAGGCUUUGAGUGUGGCAGAGGGAGGUAGAAUUCCACGUGUAGCAGUGAAAUGCGUAGAGAUGUGGAGGAAUACCGAUGGCGAAGGCAGCCUCCUGGGCCAACCACUGACGCUCAUGCACGAAAGCGUGGGGAGCAAACAGG